rnacentral:rRNA from 1 species
CCCUUAGAUGUUCUGGGCCGCACGCGUGCUACACUGAUGCAUUCAACGAGUUUACCUUGGCCGAGAGGCCUGGGCAAUCUUUUAAACCUGCAUCGUGAUAGGGAUAGAUUAUUGCAAUUAUUAAUCUUGAACGAGGAAUUCCUAGUAAACGCAGAUCAUCAAUCUGCAUUGAUUACGUCCCUGCCCUUUGUACACACCGCCCGUCGCACCUACCGAUUGAAUGGUCCGGUGAAGCCUCGGGAUUGUGGCCAGCUCGCUUUAUUGGGAGUUGGUCGCGAGAACUUGUCUAAACCUUAUCAUUUAGAGGAAGGUGGAGUCGUAACA